UACAGGGGGUGCAAACGUUGCUCGGAAUUAUUGGGCGUAAAGCGCGCGUAGGCGGCUACUUAAGUCGGAUGUGAAAGCCCUUGGCUCAACUGAGGAAGUGCACCCGAAACUGAGUGGCUAGAGUACGAAAGAGGGUCGCGGAAUUCCCGGUGUAGCGGUGAAAUGCGUAGAUAUUGGGAGGAACACCAGUGGCGAAGGCGGCUCACUGGACCGGAACUGACGCUGAGGCGCGAAAGCGUGGGGAGCAAACAGG
rnacentral:rRNA from 1 species